rnacentral:rRNA from 1 species
AGUGAACGCUGGCGGCAGGCCUAACACAUGCAAGUCGAACGGCAGCACAGUAAGAGCUUGCUCUUACGGGUGGCGAGUGGCGGACGGGUGAGGAAUACAUCGGCAUCUACUUUUUCGUGGGGGAUAACGUAGGGAAACUUACGCUAAUACCGCAUACGACCUACGGGUGAAAGCAGGGGAUCUUCGGACCUUGCGCGAUUGAAUGAGCCGAUGUCGGAUUAGCUAGUUGGCGGGGUAAAGGCCCACCAAGGCGACGAUCCGUAGCUGGUCUGAGAGGAUGAUCAGCCACACUGGAACUGAGACACGGUCCAGACUCCUACGGGAGGCAGCAGUGGGGAAUAUUGGACAAUGGGCGCAAGCCUGAUCCAGCCAUACCGCGUGGGUGAAGAAGGCCUUCGGGUUGUAAAGCCCUUUUGUUGGGAAAGAAAAGCAGCGGGUUAAUACCCCGCUGUUCUGACGGUACCCAAAGAAUAAGCACCGGCUAACUACGUG